GACGUAGGGCGCGAGCGUUGUCCGGAUUUAUUGGGCGUAAAGAGCUCGUAGGCGGCUUGUUGCGUCGACCGUGAAAACCCGUGGCUUAACUGCGGGCUUGCGGUCGAUACGGGCGGGCUGGAGUUCGGUAGGGGAGACUGGAAUUCCUGGUGUAGCGGUGAAAUGCGCAGAUAUCAGGAGGAACACCGGUGGCGAAGGCGGGUCUCUGGGCCGAUACUGACGCUGAGGCGCGACAGCGUGGGGAGCAAACAGG
rnacentral:rRNA from 1 species